rnacentral:piRNA from 1 species
UGUUCUGAUUAAAAGCCAUUC